UCGCGAUACGAUUGAAUUUCGUAUUCCUUCAGUUAGCGACGAUUCACCGAUCGCAAUGUACCCAUUUUCAUUGAUCGCCUUUGUCUGGUUUCUACGGUGCUUCGAUCCGUCACGGAGUGCGGCCGUGUACCGGACGAGAUGUAACAGUUCAUUGGAAUGCGCGGUUUACCCGGACAUAAGUCAGGGUCCGGACUUGAUUUGGAUACCCUAUUUUUGCAACGAGGAUAAUCUCUGCGCUUGUCCGAACGGCUGGAUACCGAACGUCGUUCACAAGAUUUGCCUGUCGAAGGUAUCGGGUUAGCGUCGGGUCGGGGAGGUACGAGGACGGAGGGUACGUGCGCGGGUUACGUCUGGGGAAUCAGCUCCCUCCUCGUCACCUCACUCGCUCCGACGACGUGCAGAUUUAUCUCCCUUUUGCCAACACGGACGACCUGCACACGGCUCGCCUAUCGUCCGCAAUCAAUGAAAAAUGAUCAACAUUUGCCUCCGAGAUGCUCUCGAACCGGAGUGUGAAUAUAAAUCAAACCGCGGAAUCGGCCGUUAUUCGAUGUCGCGGAGCCCCUGAUUUAUGACGAUACAUUUUUUUUGGUUUCUUUUUUUUUGGUUUUUCGAUUAUUUAUUCACAACGCAUUAUACACAAUAUUCUGAUACUAUUUCUCCUCGGCGGUAUAAUAUACCUGGUUAUAAAUGAUGUUUUGAGGUAAAUAAAAAUUUUAUCGACGAAAAAGAUAGAUCGCAGAUAUAGAAAAGGGAAGUAGAAUGAGAAAGAAAAAAGUUUGCACCGGUCGAUUUUAUUAUUCGAGUUCUUACGCGAUUCGAUAUGACGCUUUAUUCCUUUCAUCUGGAUAAGAAGGUAAAGUAUGAGAUUGUAUAUUUCCAAAUCCAUGGAUUUGCGAUGUGGAGGGGAAGGACUCGGAG